rnacentral:lncRNA from 10 species
UCUUACGUGGAAGAUGCUGUCAAAAGUAGUGUUGUGAGAAAAUCAUGUGCUUUUUUUGUUUUAAAUUUUGGAACACCAAAAUAAUUCAGUAUUUGUUAACUUGGUUAAACAACCUAUCUGUUUUGUAAAAACAAACAAUCAAAAAAAAGAAAAAAAAGAAAAGAAAAAAAAAUCUAACCAACUACCUAGGAAAAACUGUCCAGCCUUUAGUAUUGCUCCCAGAAUAAUUGUUACUCAUUUUUCUUUUAUUUGGAGAUGAAGAAGAAAAUGUUCUUUUACUUUUAGACAAUGGGAGAAGAUAUUAGAAUAGCUGUGUACUUAGAACUAAGUUUUACAGAAGGGAAGGCUAGUCAAAAAGAGGGUUAAGAAAAAAUCUGAGCAUACUUUUUACUUAUUUUAUGGUAUUUAUCGUUUAGGCCUUGUUUAUGAAAUUAUGAAUGACUCAAAGUGGAGCUAACAACCAGACA